CGUCUUGUACUGAUUGAGAUUUUAACACGAAGUGAGUGGCGAACGGGUGAGUAACACGUGGGUAACCUGCCCAGAAGUAGGGGAUAACACCUGGAAACAGAUGCUAAUACCGUAUAACAGAGAAAACCGCAUGGUUUUCUUUUAAAAGAUGGCUCUGCUAUCACUUCUGGAUGGACCCGCGGCGUAUUAGCUAGUUGGUGAGGUAAAGGCUCACCAAGGCAGUGAUACGUAGCCGACCUGAGAGGGUAAUCGGCCACAUUGGGACUGAGACACGGCCCAGACUCCUACGGGAGGCAGCAGUAGGGAAUCUUCCACAAUGGACGCAAGUCUGAUGGAGCAACGCCGCGUGAGUGAAGAAGGGUUUCGGCUCGUAAAGCUCUGUUGUUAAAGAAGAACGUGGGUAAGAGUAACUGUUUACCCAGUGACGGUAUUUAACCAGAAAGCCACGGCUAACUACGUGCCAGCAGCCGCGGUAAUACGUAGGUGGCAAGCGUUAUCCGGAUUUAUUGGGCGUAAAGCGAGCGCAGGCGGUCUUUUAAGUCUAAUGUGAAAGCCUUCGGCUCAACCGAAGAAGUGCAUUGGAAACUGGGAGACUUGAGUGCAGAAGAGGACAGUGGAACUCCAUGUGUAGCGGUGAAAUGCGUAGAUAUAUGGAAGAACACCAGUGGCGAAGGCGGCUGUCUGGUCUGCAACUGACGCUGAGGCUCGAAAGCAUGGGUAGCGAACAGGAUUAGAUACCCUGGUAGUCCAUGCCGUAAACGAUGAUUACUAAGUGUUGGAGGGUUUCCGCCCUUCAGUGCUGCAGCUAACGCAUUAAGUAAUCCGCCUGGGGAGUACGACCGCAAGGUUGAAACUCAAAAGAAUUGACGGGGGCCCGCACAAGCGGUGGAGCAUGUGGUUUAAUUCGAAGCUACGCGAAGAACCUUACCAGGUCUUGACAUCUUCUGACAGUCUAAGAGAUUAGAGGUUCCCUUCGGGGACAGAAUGACAGGUGGUGCAUGGUUGUCGUCAGCUCGUGUCGUGAGAUGUUGGGUUAAGUCCCGCAACGAGCGCAACCCUUAUUACUAGUUGCCAGCAUUAAGUUGGGCMCUCUAGUGAGACUGCCGGUGACAAACCGGAGGAAGGUGGGGACGACGUCAAAUCAUCAUGCCCCUUAUGACCUGGGC
rnacentral:rRNA from 1 species